GCCUCCUUGGUCAAGCGGUUAAGACGCCGCCCUCUCACGGCGGAAACAGGAGUUCGAUUCUCCUAGGGGGUGCCA
rnacentral:tRNA from 4 species